rnacentral:rRNA from 1 species
UACAGAGGUCUCAAGCGUUGUCCGGAAUUACUGGGCUUAAAGGGUGCGUAGGCGGCGCGACAAGUUGGGUGUGAAAUCCCUCGGCUCAACCUCGAAACUGCACUUGAUACUGCCUUGCUAGAGUACUGGAGAGGAGAUUGGAAUUUACGGUGUAGCAGUGAAAUGCGUAGAUAUCGUAAGGAAGACCAGUGGCGAAGGCGAAUCUCUGGACAGUUACUGACACUGAGGCACGAAGGCCAGGGGAGCAAACGGG